rnacentral:tRNA from 1 species
UCCCCAGUGGCUCAGAAGGUAAAGCGUCUGCCUACAGUGCGGAAGACCCAGGUUCAAUCCCUGGGUCAGGAA